UACAGAGGUCCCAAGCGUUGUUCGGAUUCACUGGGCGUAAAGGGUGCGUAGGCGGUCGGGUAGGUCUGAUGUGAAAUCUCCAAGCCUAACUUGGAAACUGCAUUGGAUACUAUCCGGCUCGAGGAAUGGAGGGGAGACUGGAAUACUUGGUGUAGCAGUGAAAUGCGUAGAUAUCAAGUGGAACACCAGUGGCGAAGGCGAGUCUCUGGACAUUUCCUGACGCUGAGGCACGAAAGCCAGGGGAGCAAACGGG
rnacentral:rRNA from 1 species